GGGGCUGAUUCCUCGCCAAAAAUAAAAAUGCAAAGCGAAUGACUAUAUUUGACAUUUUCGAAGCAUAUCGCUCGCAUUGCGUUUCAAAUGGUGGAGAGUUUGCUUUGGAGUUGUAACGUGUUUAAUUGAAACAAUACUUCGACAGGCACUUUGGAGGUGGUGUAGCCGAGAGGGGUAUGGACCAGGAGCUGGGAAGCGAGACUGGGCUGGUUCUUGGGCUGGUGCAAGACAAACUGGCCCAGAACUCCAGGAGCUGAAUUCAAACAGGGGAGAGGGAAGAUUCAAUUCUCAGCUUGCAAGAAAGUUCCGAAGACGAAAUAAGUCACAGCACUCUCAACAGGUAUGAGCAUAGCUGCCUCACGGAUGGAGCAGGCAAUGUUGCAUACAUCCCGGCAAUUCGACAACUAAGGAGGAGGAAAAGAAGGGCCUGUCACCACCAGGCUGGGCUGAGGGAAGGACCUCAUCCUGAUGAACAAGGGCCAGUGGAGCCCCUUCAAGAACCGGAAGCUAAGGCUGACAGAACUGUUGAGCUGAGGCCAAGACCAAGGGUGUACAUCGCUUGCUAUAACCAGUCCUGGGCUGCAGAGA